AGGUAGAGAUGUCGCGAGAGACCUCGACACAGAUGCGGACGGAUAUCUGGACGGGACUGAGUUAGAGAAAUACAUCGGCCAGCGAGACGUUCUCGACUUCGUGAGGGCUUUAGAUCAGAAUGGUGACAGACGCCUCUCCAUUAAAGAGUUUAACGACAAACAGUAAUAAAUAAAUCAGAAUGUGCAAUUAUUAGGCUGAAUAAAAAAGACAUUCCAAAACAUCUGAAGUUCACUGUUUCAAAUAAAACAGAUUUCAACAAUAUACUUUUGCAUCGAUUGUUCUGUUGUGUGA